GCUCUGUGGCGCAAUGGACAGCGCAUUGGACUUCUAAUUCAAAGGUUGUGGGUUCGAGUCCCACCAGAUUCG
rnacentral:tRNA from 1 species